GGACUUCCAGGAGGACGAUUUUGAGCCCAUCCCUAUUGAGUCCGCCGAGGGAGCAUGCGUGGUAGACUUGACCGUGAUUCAAGAUUCUCCAGCUAAACCUCAUCCCGCAUAGUUGGAGAAGAUGAUUCGUACAACACGUGACCGGAUCGUUCGGAAGGGUCCGCUGGUUCGCACCCCGUAUACGAAUCCACUCAAAGGGAGGGCGAAACAAUAACCUACGACCAUUCCAUCCUCUGCCUCUGAGCGUGAGGAAUCUUUCCUCACAUGGUACACCAGCGCUGUGGCUUUCGACUCACAUGAUGUCUACUUCAUCGGGUCGAAGUCGAAGGCCAGCUUCUGGAGGCUUGUU